UACGUAGGAGACGAGCGUUGUCCGGAGUUACUGGGCGUAAAGGGUGCGCAGGUGGCGGCGCGCGUGGGGGGUGAAAUCGCCCGGCUUAACUGGGCGGGGGCCUUCCAGACGGCGUGGCUUGAGCAGCGGAGGGGGACGUGGAAUUCCGGGUGGAGCGGUGAAAUGCGUAGAGAUCCGGAGGAACACCGAUGGCGAAGGCAAUCCCCUGGGCCUGCACUGACGCUCAUGCACGAAAGCGUGGGGAGCAAACAGG
rnacentral:rRNA from 1 species